rnacentral:rRNA from 1 species
AUUGAACGCUGGCGGCAUGCUUUACACAUGCAAGUCGAACGGCAGCACGGACUUCGGUCUGGUGGCGAGUGGCGAACGGGUGAGUAAUACAUCGGAACGUGCCCAGUUGUGGGGGAUAACUACUCGAAAGAGUAGCUAAUACCGCAUGAGAACUGAGGUUGAAAGCAGGGGAUCGCAAGACCUUGCGCAACUGGAGCGGCCGAUGGCAGAUUAGGUAGUUGGUGGGAUAAAAGCUUACCAAGCCGACGAUCUGUAGCUGGUCUGCGAGGACGACGAGCCACACUGGGACUGAGACACGGGCCAGACUCCUACGGGAGGCAGCAGUGGGGAAUUUUGGACAAUGGGCGAAAGCCUGAUCCAGCAAUGCCGCGUGCAGGAUGAAGGCCUUCGGGUUGUAAACUGCUUUUGUACGGAACGAAAAGCUUCGGGUUAAUACCCUGGAGUCAUGACGGUACCGUAAGAAUAAGCACCGGCUAACUACGUGCCAGCCGCCGCCGUAACAC